rnacentral:rRNA from 1 species
GAUGAACGCUGGCGGCGUGCUUAACACAUGCAAGUCGAACGAAGCACUUUAUUUGAUUUCCUUCGGGACUGAUUAUUUUGUGACUGAGUGGCGGACGGGUGAGUAACGCGUGGGUAACCUGCCUUGUACAGGGGGAUAACAGUUGGAAACGGCUGCUAAUACCGCAUAAGCGCACAGCAUCGCAUGAUGCAGUGUGAAAAACUCCGGUGGUAUAAGAUGGACCCGCGUUGGAUUAGCUAGUUGGUGAGGUAACGGCCCACCAAGGCGACGAUCCAUAGCCGACCUGAGAGGGUGACCGGCCACAUUGGGACUGAGACACGGCCCAAACUCCUACGGGAGGCAGCAGUGGGGAAUAUUGCACAAUGGGCGAAAGCCUGAUGCAGCGACGCCGCGUGAGCGAAGAAGUAUUUCGGUAUGUAAAGCUCUAUCAGCAGGGAAGGUAAUGACGGUACCUGACUAAGAAGCACCGGCUAAAUACGUG